rnacentral:rRNA from 1 species
AUUGAACGCUGGCGGCAGGCUUAACACAUGCAAGUCGAGCGGGGGAAGGUAGCUUGCUACCGGACCUAGCGGCGGACGGGUGAGUAAUGCUUAGGAAUCUGCCUAUUAGUGGGGGACAACAUCUCGAAAGGGAUGCUAAUACCGCAUACGUCCUACGGGAGAAAGCAGGGGAUCUUCGGACCUUGCGCUAAUAGAUGAGCCUAAGUCGGAUUAGCUAGUUGGUGGGGUAAAGGCCUACCAAGGCGACGAUCUGUAGCGGGUCUGAGAGGAUGAUCCGCCACACUGGGACUGAGACACGGCCCAGACUCCUACGGGAGGCAGCAGUGGGGAAUAUUGGACAAUGGGGGGAACCCUGAUCCAGCCAUGCCGCGUGUGUGAAGAAGGCCUUAUGGUUGUAAAGCACUUUAAGCGAGGAGGAGGCUACUUUAGUUAAUACCUAGAGAUAGUGGACGUUACUCGCAGAAUAAGCACCGGCUAACUCUGUGCCAGCAGCCGCGGUAAUACAGAGGGUGCGAGCGUUAAUCGGAUUUACUGGGCGUAAAGCGUGCGUAGGCGGCUUAUUAAGUCGGAUGUGAAAUCCCCGAGCUUAACUUGGGAAUUGCAUUCGAUACUGGUGAGCUAGAGUAUGGGAGAGGAUGGUAGAAUUCCAGGUGUAGCGGUGAAAUGCGUAGAGAUCUGGAGGAAUACCGAUGGCGAAGGCAGCCAUCUGGCCUAAUACUGACGCUGAGGUACGAAAGCAUGGGGAGCAAACAGGAUUAGAUACCCUGGUAGUCCAUGCCGUAAACGAUGUCUACUAGCCGUUGGGGCCUUUGAGGCUUUAGUGGCGCAGCUAACGCGAUAAGUAGACCGCCUGGGGAGUACGGUCGCAAGACUAAAACUCAAAUGAAUUGACGGGGGCCCGCACAAGCGGUGGAGCAUGUGGUUUAAUUCGAUGCAACGCGAAGAACCUUACCUGGCCUUGACAUACUAGAAACUUUCCAGAGAUGGAUUGGUGCCUUCGGGAAUCUAGAUACAGGUGCUGCAUGGCUGUCGUCAGCUCGUGUCGUGAGAUGUUGGGUUAAGUCCCGCAACGAGCGCAACCCUUUUCCUUACUUGCCAGCAUUUCGGAUGGGAACUUUAAGGAUACUGCCAGUGACAAACUGGAGGAAGGCGGGGACGACGUCAAGUCAUCAUGGCCCUUACGGCCAGGGCUACACACGUGCUACAAUGGUCGGUACAAAGGGUUGCUACACAGCGAUGUGAUGCUAAUCUCAAAAAGCC